CCUACGGGUGGCAGCAGUGAGGAAUAUUGGUCAAUGGGCGGGAGCCUGAACCAGCCAAGCCGCGUGAGGGAAGAAGGUACUGCGUAUCGUAAACCUCUUUUGUCAGGGAACAAAGGCGGGGACUAGUCCCCGGAUGGGGGUACCUGAAGAAAAAGCAACGGCCAACUCCGUGCCAGCAGCAGCGGUAAUAAGGAGGAUGCGAGCGUUAUCCGGAUUUAUUGGGGUUAAAGGGUGCGCAGGCGGCCUGGUAAGUCAGCGGUAAAAGCCAGGGGCGCAACCCCGGCGAGCCGUUGACACUGGCGUGCUGGAGUAGGAGAGAAGUACGCGGAAUGCGUGGUGUAGCGGUGAAAUGCUUAGAUAUCGCGCAGAACUCCGAUUGCGAAGGCAGCGUACCGGCUCCACACUGACGCUGAGGCACGAAAGCGUGGGUAUCGAACAGGAUUAGAUACCCCAGUAGUC
rnacentral:rRNA from 1 species